GUCUUCUUCGACUCUUCUUCUCCGACAAAGGAGGCGCGACGCCGUCUUUUCUUCUUCUUACCAGACUUGGGUCAGGGAUAGUUUAAUCAGCCAAUACUGCAGAAAUCAUCUCGCCUUGGAUGCUAUUGAUUUCAGAAUGUAUAUGACCUCUCUACUCGAUUUUGUUCCAUCUAUAACAAUAUCAGUUGGUCUGCUACUUUCAUCUAGAGAAUUGUUAAAACUAGUUCCAGCUUUGAAAAUUAGCUGCAUGGUAGCUACAAUGCAUUGCAUUUCACCUUAAGGCUAAAGCAGUCAUCUUUAGUUUCAUCCAAAACUUUUUUGAUGAUCAUCUUAUUGGAGCUGAGUGGUUUUCUGAC